ensembl:snRNA LOC120095710 U6 spliceosomal RNA
GUGCUCUCUUUGGCUGCAAAUAUACUAAAAUUGGAAUGACACAAGAUUAGCAUGACUCCUGCGCAAGCAUGACACUCAAAUUCAUAAAGCGUUCCAUAAAAAA